rnacentral:rRNA from 1 species
GGGCCCCUCUCGGGUUACCGAAUUCAGACAAACUCCGAAUGCCAAUUAAUUUAACUUGGGAGUCAGAACAUGGGUGAUAAGGUCCGUGUUCGAAAGGGAAACAGCCCAGACCACCAGCUAAGGUCCCAAAAUAUAUGUUAAGUGGAAAAGGAUGUGGCGUUGCCCAGACAACUAGGAUGUUGGCUUAGAAGCAGCCAUCAUUUAAAGAGUGCGUAAUAGCUCACUAGUCGAGUGACACUGCGCCGAAAAUGUACCGGGGCUAAACAUAUUACCGAAGCUGUGGAUUGUCCUUUGGACAAUGGUAGGAGAGCGUUCUAAGGGCGUUGAAGCAUGAUCGUAAGGACAUGUGGAGCGCUUAGAAGUGAGAAUGCCGGUGUGAGUAGCGAAAGACGGGUGAGAAUCCCGUCCACCGAUUGACUAAGGUUUCCAGAGGAAGGCUCGUCCGCUCUGGGUUAGUCGGGUCCUAAGCUGAGGCCGACAGGCGUAGGCGAUGGAUAACAGGUUGAUAUUCCUGUACCACCUAUAAUCGUUUUAAUCGAUGGGGGGACGCAGUAGGAUAGGCGAAGCGUGCGAUUGGAUUGCACGUCUAAGCAGUAAGGCUGAGUAUUAGGCAAAUCCGGUACUCGUUAAGGCUGAGCUGUGAUGGGGAGAAGACAUUGUGUCUUCGAGUCGUUGAUUUCACACUGCCGAGAAAAGCCUCUAGAUAGAAAAUAGGUGCCCGUACCGCAAACCGACACAGGUAGUCAAGAUGAGAAUUCUAAGGUGAGCGAGCGAACUCUCGUUAAGGAACUCGGCAAAAUGACCCCGUAACUUCGGGAGAAGGGGUGCUCUUUAGGGUUAACGCCCAGAAGAGCCGCAGUGAAUAGGCCCAAGCGACUGUUUAUCAAAAACACAGGUCUCUGCUAAACCGUAAGGUGAUGUAUAGGGGCUGACGCCUGCCCGGUGCUGGAAGGUUAAGAGGAGUGGUUAGCUUCUGCGAAGCUACGAAUCGAAGCCCCAGUAAACGGCGGCCGUAACUAUAACGGUCCUAAGGUAGCGAAAUUCCUUGUCGGGUAAGUUCCGACCCGCACGAAAGGCGUAACGAUUUGGGCACUGUCUCAACGAGAGACUCGGUGAAAUCAUAGUACCUGUGAAGAUGCAGGUUACCCGCGACAGGACGGAAAGACCCCGUGGAGCUUUACUGUAGCCUGAUAUUGAAAUUCGGCACAGCUUGUACAGGAUAGGUAGGAGCCUUUGAAACGUGAGCGCUAGCUUACGUGGAGGCGCUGGUGGGAUACUACCCUAGCUG